GGAUGAGGCUUCAACCUCAAAAAAAGAUGUGAGAAAGAGGGUUGGGAAAGCUGAUAGAUCUGCUACAUGUAUGGCAGAGCUUCUAAAGAAGAAAAAGACUGAAGACCAGCGGAACCAUGAAGCACACACAACAAGAAAAUUUCCCUGCACUUCCAUGGGCC